GUCAUAUGCUGUCUCAAAGAUAAGCCAUGCAUGUCUCAGUACAAGCCAAAUUAAGGUGAAACCGCGAAAGGCUCAUUAAAUCAGUUAUGGUUCCUUAGAUCGUACCCACAAUUACUUGGAUAACUGUGGUAAUUCUAGAGCUAAUACAUGCAAACAGAGCUCCGACCGGAGACGGAAGGAGUGCUUUUAUUAGAUCAAAACCAAUCGGUGGCGGGUUCGCUCGUCAUCGUACAACUUGGUGAUUCUGAAUAACUUUACGCUGAUCGCACGGUCAUCGCACCGGCGACGCAUCUUUCAAAUGUCUGCCUUAUCAACUGUCGAUGGUAGGUUCUGCGCCUACCAUGGUUGUAACGGGUAACGGGGAAUCAGGGUUCGAUUCCGGAGAGGGAGCCUGAGAAACGGCUACCACAUCCAAGGAAGGCAGCAGGCGCGCAAAUUACCCACUCCCGGCACGGGGAGGUAGUGACGAAAAAUAACGAUACGGGACUCAUCCGAGGCCCCGUAAUCGGAAUGAGUACACUCUAAACCCUUUAACGAGGAUCAAUUGGAGGGCAAGUCUGGUGCCAGCAGCCGCGGUAAUUCCAGCUCCAAUAGCGUAUAUUAAAGUUGUUGCGGUUAAAAAGCUCGUAGUCGAAUUUGUGUCUCGCGCCGCCGGUUCAUCGUCCGCGGUGUUAACUGGCGAGUCGCGAGACGUCCUGCCGGUGGGCUUAGCUCGCGAGGGCGGCCCAACUCAAUCCUGCCGCGGUGCUCUUCAUUGAGUGUCGAGGUGGGCCGGCACGUUUACUUUGAACAAAUUAGAGUGCUUAAAGCAGGCUAAAACUUCGCCUGAAUACUGUGUGCAUGGAAUAAUGGAAUAGGACCUCGGUUCUAUUUUGUUGGUUUUCGGAACCCCGAGGUAAUGAUUAAUAGGAACGGAUGGGGGCAUUCGUAUUGCGACGUUAGAGGUGAAAUUCUUGGAUCGUCGC
rnacentral:rRNA from 1 species